rnacentral:lncRNA from 1 species
UAUCACGGAAAAGCAAAUAGAAUCGCUGGAAGUGUGGAGCUGUGCUAAGGCCGAAGAUGCUGCUAUAAAAACGAUGGCUGUCGAAGGUGGACAUUUUCUAUUCACUGCAUGAGAUGAAUUGUCCUCUGCGGCUGAACUGCUCUUUAGGAUAAUGAGGUCUGUCACCAAAGGAACAACCCAGAGAUCUCCAUGGGAGGAAUAAGGAAUUGAGCAUCAGUCUCUCUGGAUCCUGAUACAAAUCCUGAUGGCACUGCUUGCUGGCUCCGGGGGCUGAGGAAAGUGCCUUUGUCCACCUCUUCUCCAUCCUGUUCUAAGUUUCAGUUCUCAUCCAAACCAUAAAUUCUUCUUCUUGAGGACAUUUCUCCAAGAAACACAUGCACAGACAUACCUGCAUGCACACACAAACAUGAUAUAUAUGUAAUAUGUAAUAUGUGGCAUAUUACUUUAAUU